AGUCUUAUAGUGUAAAAAAAACGUUAGGUUGCAAAUCUAAAGAUGUCUUUAAAACUGAGACUU
rnacentral:tRNA from 1 species